CCUGGCAGUCAGAGGCGAUGAAGGACGUGCUAAUCUGCGAUAAGCGUCGGUAAGGUGAUAUGAACCGUUAUAACCGGCGAUUUCCGAAUGGGGAAACCCAGUGUGUUUCGACACACUAUCAUUAACUGAAUCCAUAGGUUAAUGAGGCGAACCGGGGGAACUGAAACAUCUAAGUACCCCGAGGAAAAGAAAUCAACCGAGAUUCCCCCAGUAGCGGCGAGCGAACGGGGAG
rnacentral:rRNA from 1 species